UACGUAGGGUGCAAGCGUUAAUCGGAAUUACUGGGCGUAAAGCGUGCGCAGGCGGUUCUGCAAGUCAGAGGUGAAAUCCCCGGGCUCAACCUGGGAACUGCCUUUGUGACUGCAUAGCUAGAGUACGGUAGAGGGGGAUGGAAUUCCGCGUGUAGCAGUGAAAUGCGUAGAUAUGCGGAGGAACACCGAUGGCGAAGGCAAUCCCCUGGACCUGUACUGACGCUCAUGCACGAAAGCGUGGGGAGCAAACAGG
rnacentral:rRNA from 1 species